rnacentral:rRNA from 1 species
GACGAACGCUGGCGGCGUGCUUAACACAUGCCAGUCGAACGGAAAGGCCCGGCUCGUGGGGUUCUCAAGUUGCCAACGGGUGGGUAACACGUAGGUGGUUUGCCUUCCUCUUAGGGUUAGGCCUGGUCAAGUGGGUCUAGUUCCUAACGGGUGAUAUUUUUAGUGUGAUGGUUGAAAAGUUUUUUCGGUGUAGGAUGAGCCCGCGGCCUAUCUGCUUGUUGCGGGGGUAAUGGGGUACCAAGGCGGCGUCGCGAGGCCGGCCUGCGAGGGUGACAGGCGACACUGAGUCUGAGGUAAGGCAGAGACUCCUACGGGAGGGAGCAGUGGGGAAUAUUGAACAAUGGGCGCAAGGCUGAUGCAGAGAGGCCGCGUGGGGGAUGACGGCCUUCGGGUUGAAAACUAAAUUCGCAAGGGACGAAGCAUUUUGUGACGGUACCUAGAUAAGAAGCACCGGCUAACUACGUG